rnacentral:tRNA from 1 species
GGACGUCUAGCUCAAUUGGUAGAGCACUCGGCUCUUAACCGAGGGGUUGCGGGUUCGAUCCCCGCGGCGUCCA